rnacentral:rRNA from 1 species
ACUCAAAGGAAUAGACGGGGACCCGCACAAGCAGCGGAGCGUGUGGUUUAAUUCGAGGCUACACGAAGAACCUUACCUGGGCUUGACAUAGCGGUGGUAGAGAACCGAAAGGGGAUCGACCUUCGGGAGCCGUUACAGGUGCUGCAUGGCUGUCGUCAGCUCGUGUCGUGAGAUGUUCGGUUAAGUCCGGUAACGAGCGCAACCCUUGGAGCUAGUUACACGAGUCUAGCUCAACUGCCCGGUUCAACUGGGAGGAAGGUGGGGAUGACGUCAAGUCAGCAUGGCCUUUAUGUCCAGGGCUACACACACGCUACAAUGGCCAAUACAAUAGGUUGCCAACCCGCGAGGGGGAGCCAAUCCAUCAAAGUUGGUCUCAGUUCGGAUUGUAGGCUGCAACUCGCCUGCAUGAAGUUGGAGUUGCUAGUAAACGCAGGUCAGCUAUACUGCGUUGAAUACGUUCCCGGGUCUUGUACACACCGCCCGU